rnacentral:rRNA from 1 species
GACGAACGCUGGCGGCGUGCCUAAUACAUGCAAGUAGAACGCACAGUUUAUACCGUAGCUUGCUACACCAUAAACUGUGAGUUGCGAACGGGUGAGUAACGCGUAGGUAACCUGCCUGGUAGCGGGGGAUAACUAUUGGAAACGAUAGCUAAUACCGCAUAAUAUUGAUUAUUGCAUGAUAAUUGAUUGAAAGAUGCUAUUGCAUCACUACCAGAUGGACCUGCGUUGUAUUAGCUAGUAGGUGAGGUAACGGCUCACCUAGGCGACGAUACAUAGCCGACCUGAGAGGGUGAUCGGCCACACUGGGACUGAGACACGGCCCAGACUCCUACGGGAGGCAGCAGUAGGGAAUCUUCGGCAAUGGACGAAAGUCUGACCGAGCAACGCCGCGUGAGUGAAGAAGGUUUUCGGAUCGUAAAGCUCGGUUGUAAGAGAAGAACGGGUGUGAGAGUGGAAAGUUCACACUGUGACGGUAUCUUACCAGAAAGGGACGGCUAACUACGUG